rnacentral:rRNA from 1 species
AACAAACGCUGGCGGCGUGCCUAACACAUGCAAGUCGUACGAGAAAGGGUCCUUCGGGGCCUGAGUAAAGUGGCGCACGGGUGAGUAACGCGUGGAUAAUCUGCCCUUCAGUUGGGAACAACUCACCGAAAGGUGGGCUAAUACCGAAUAAUGCUGUGAGACCUCGGUUGAUCAGCCAAAGAGAGCCUCUGCUUGCAAGCCCUCGCUGAAGGAUGAGUCCGCGUACCAUUAGCUAGUUGGUAGGGUAAUGGCCUACCAAGGCGACGAUGGUUAGCUGGUCUGAGAGGAUGAUCCGCCAAACUGGAACUGAGACACGGUCCAGACUCCUACGGGAGGCAGCAGUGAGGAAUCUUGCGCAAUGGGGGCAACCCUGACGCAGCAACGCCGCGUGAGUGAGGAAGGUCUUCGGAUCGUAAAGCUCUGUCGGAUGGAAAGAACCGCAUAGGGGUAAACAGCCCCUGUGUCUGACGGUACCAUCAAAGGAAGCACCGGCUAACUCCGUGCCAGCCGCCGCAGUAAGAC